AUUGAACGCUGGCGGCAUGCCUUACACAUGCAAGUCGAACGGUAACAGGUUAAGCUGACGAGUGGCGAACGGGUGAGUAAUGUAUCGGAACGUGCCCAGUCGUGGGGGAUAACUGCUCGAAAGAGCAGCUAAUACCGCAUACGACCUGAGGGUGAAAGCGGGGGAUCGCAAGACCUCGCGCGAUUGGAGCGGCCGAUAUCAGAUUAGGUAGUUGGUGCGGUAAAGGCUCACCAAGCCGACGAUCUGUAGCUGGUCUGAGAGGACGACCAGCCACACUGGGACUGAGACACGGCCCAGACUCCUACGGGAGGCAGCAGUGGGGAAUUUUGGACAAUGGGCGCAAGCCUGAUCCAGCCAUGCCGCGUGCGGGAAGAAGGCCUUCGGGUUGUAAACCGCUUUUGUCAGGGAAGAAAAGGUUCUGGCUAAUACCUGGGACUCAUGACGGUACCUGAAGAAUAAGCACCGGCUAACUACGUGCCAGCAGCCGCUGUAA
rnacentral:rRNA from 1 species